rnacentral:rRNA from 1 species
UGGGGAAUUUUGGACAAUGGGGGAAACCCUGAUCCAGCCAUCCCGCGUGUGCGAUGAAGGCCUUCGGGUUGUAAAGCACUUUUGGCAGGUAAGAAACGUCAUGGGUUAAUACCCCGUGAAACUGACGGUACCUGCAGAAUAAGCACCGGCUAACUACGUGCCAGCAGCCGCGGUAAUACGUAGGGUGCAAGCGUUAAUCGGAAUUACUGGGCGUAAAGCGUGCGCAGGCGGUUCGGAAAGAAAGAUGUGAAAUCCCAGAGCUCAACUUUGGAACUGCAUUUUUAACUACCGGGCUAGAGUGUGUCAGAGGGAGGUGGAAUUCCGCGUGUAGCAGUGAAAUGCGUAGAUAUGCGGAGGAACACCGAUGGCGAAGGCAGCCUCCUGGGAUAACACUGACGCUCAUGCACGAAAGCGUGGGGAGCAAACAGG